rnacentral:lncRNA from 1 species
CUAAAGCUAAGGGGUUGUAAACAACGCCAAACACCACAACCUGAAAAACACAACAAAUACAACACAUAGCAAUGCAUAUUACACGUACACCACAAGUUUUGAUUAGGAAUAAAAUGUGAAUUUCAAAUUCAGUAAAACUAUUUUUUUUAUAACUAUGAGGGCAAAUUCACUAAAUGCAUCAUCAAUUUAACAAAGAUCGUCAUUGCAAACAGCGAUACCAAAUUAAUGAAGGCUUUGCUUCUUUUGCGGCCAUCAUUUCUUCGGCAGCAAUAAUAGAGGGGCAAUAAUAGAGGGGCCCGAAGCUGUGAACAUAAAUUGAGUAUUUUAAAUCAAGAACUAGAUAUAGACCCAAUCAAGAACAUAAAUUGUUAUUAUGCAAUUUUAGAAAAGAAGAUCAUAUCAUACCAUGAUCACGGAAAACUGUCCGAGUCAUCUUCAUCUUGGGUUUCUAUUUUUUCUCCUAUUAAAAAGUAACAAUGAACAAAAUUGACUAAAGCAAUACAAUUUAACAUUAAAAGUUCAUUGAUCUUGGCUGAUAAAGAAGGAACAAGGGGAAAAUUUUAGAUAAUGCGACAAACCUAAGUAGUACUACAUUAUACCCCGCAAAAAAAAAAGCAGUACUACAUUACCUGUUCAGCCGGUUUCGGUGAUCGAUCAGGAGAUAGACCGAUGGAGCACAGAUGCAGAACAGGAGGCGUAGAAGAGGCUACUCGAACGAUGCGAGAGAUCCGCGGUUCGGAGCGCCGGCCGCCUAGGCGCGCGUCCGGUGGAAUCGAGCAAUCGAUCUAGGAGACAGGAAGCCUUGGCGGCGCAGCGUGAGAGAUUUUUUUAUAUCGAACCGGCGAGACGAG